UACGAAGGCAGCGAGCGUUGUUCGGAGUUACUGGGCGUAAAGGGUGCGUAGGUGGCGCUGUAAGUCGGGUGUGAAAUCCUGAGGCUUAACCUCGGAACUGCAUUCGAUACUGCGGUGCUUGAGGACUGGAGAGGAGACUGGAAUUCAUGGUGUAGCAGUGAAAUGCGUAGAGAUCAUGAGGAAGACCAGUGGCGAAGGCGGGUCUCUGGACAGUUCCUGACACUGAGGCACGAAGGCCAGGGGAGCAAACGGG
rnacentral:rRNA from 1 species